GUGGGGAAUAUUGGACAAUGGGCGCAAGCCUGAUCCAGCCAUGCCGCGUGUGUGAAGAAGGCCUUUUGGUUGUAAAGCACUUUAAGCGAGGAGGAGGCUCCUUUAGUUAAUACCUAAAGAGAGUGGACGUUACUCGCAGAAUAAGCACCGGCUAACUCUGUGCCAGCAGCCGCGGUAAUACAGAGGGUGCGAGCGUUAAUCGGAUUUACUGGGCGUAAAGCGUGCGUAGGCGGCUUUUUAAGUCGGAUGUGAAGUCCAUGAGCUUAACUUAGGAAUUGCAUUCGAUACUGGAAAGCUAGAGUAUGGGAGAGGAUGGUAGAAUUCCAGGUGUAGCGGUGAAAUGCGUAGAGAUCUGGAGGAAUACCGAUGGCGAAGGCAGCCAUCUGGCCUAAUACUGACGCUGAGGUACGAAAGCAUGGGGAGCAAACAGGAUUAGAAACCCUAGUAGUCC
rnacentral:rRNA from 1 species